rnacentral:sRNA from 1 species
UAUACCAAAACUAUCAAUAUAUCGAUAAACGUAGUGCUGCAAUCGGGUAGCAAAGAUAUAAUACCCUUUAUCGUUGCUUUUUUCGUUUCGGCUAAGUACAGGGUGCCUUUGGUAUGUAGCGACUAUCGCAACAGCCGGGUCAAUACUCCCAUCACUAGCCUAAGAAAAUUGUAAACACGACGUGGACUUGUAGUAAUUAUUAGAAUUUAGCCAAAAUAAUGCAACAAAUUGUAGCAAUUCUCUUGCUGGCGCUUGUUUAAAUGCAGCUUAAUUUGAGAAAUUUUCAACACUUUCAACAGCUUAAUUUGAGAAAUUUUCAACACUUUCAACAGCUUAAUUUGAGAAAUUUUCAACACUAAAACGAAAAUCAAAAUAUAUAUAUAU